AAAGUCGUAACAAGGUCUCCGUUGGUGAACCAGCGGAGGGAUCAUUAAAGAGUUGCAAGACUCCCACAAACCAUCGCGAACCGAACCCCUGAGCAGUUGCUUCGGCGGGCCGGCCCCCCACCGCGGGGCGCCGUCACAGGCCCGCCGGAGGCACCCAAACCAUUGUCUUUGCAGGCCUCUCUGAGUAUUACUUAAACAAGUCAAAACUUUCAACAACGGAUCUCUUGGCUCUG
rnacentral:misc_RNA from 1 species